rnacentral:lncRNA from 1 species
AAGUCCUGGGGUCAAUUUGCUCGACUAAAGGCGGUGCUCCAGCAUAGCCACAGUCAAAUGUGAAACAAGUAAAAGAGUACUUGUUUCACAGUCAAACAAGUAAAAAGUAAAGUGCAAUGCAGUGGUGAGUAGUUUAGGACAUAGUACUGUUAUUAAUGUCUAAUUCUAAAAUAUACUACACUUUUCAACAAUUGUAUUUAUAUUAGUAUCACUCUAUCCAUCUCUCCACCACCAUACUAGUAUCACUGUUGCUACAAUUAUCUCCUCCGUUGGUCUCUUUUAAUUAAGGAUCUGAUGUAAAUUCUCUCCACUUCUUUCCUACUAUACCAAAUAUGUAAUCAGUCUUCGAACAGUGACUACAACAACCUCUAUAGCAGGCUACUCUUCUCUCUCUUCAUCUUCACUACUUCUGUCUCUCUCUUUGUUUCUCUCUAUUGUUUGGUCCUAGGUUAGUCUUGAUUGAGCAGAUCUCUACUUAAAAGUAUUCCAGCCUCGACCAUCCAUACUCUGACCUCAUAAUCAUAUUGUUCAACUUCCCCUGAGACAGUACAGUGUGACUGGAGGAAGAUUCAGCUUCUAUUUCUUGCAGGUCAAGCAACUGUGUUAAUUUAUUGAUAAAUUAGACAUUUGACUAUUAAAGUCAUGAGUUCUCAUCUCAUUGCAGUUGCUUACAUCUUAAUAGUUUUACGAACAAGAUACUUCUCUUACCCAGGGACUUUCUCCUUAAGAUGCACAAAUAUUACUUAACCUUUAUGUUUAUCAUAUUAACAAUUUUUGUUGUUGUUGGUGUCAUUUAACCCUAAGUUAGGCCAGAUCAUAUGGACCUAUGAUGUUCAAAAGUACUCUAGCUGCAAUCAUCCUGUCUUUUCUUUUUUAUAAAUAGUGUAUCUAGGACCACAUUAUCCAAUAUUUCUUUCCCCUUUUUUAGGUAUUAAAAUGUGAUAUGAGGGGAAUUUAGCUGCUAUUUCUUGUAGUUUGAGUGGCCACAUAGAUACUUCCUCAAUGUCUGCUAUAUUUCCAGCUCCUACAUGUGAAACUCCAUUGAAAAUGUUGCCUUGGCCACUAAUGAUUAUAAACCUGGUUGAGCUGUUUUCUUUCUGUGUAGUUGUUGUUAAACUAUCAAAAAUUCCCCAAAGAAGCGAUUUGCUGAGGCAAAAUGGAAAUAUUGAAGGAUUGUGUUCUUUCUUGUUCUGCAAAUUACUCGGCAAUCCUUCUAGUACUGGUGGCACAAAAAUAAAAAAGGAAAAGCAUCCCGCACAUACUAUAAAGUGGUUGGCAUUAGGAAGGGCAUCCGGUCAUAGAAACCAGAGUAAAGCUGACAUGGAGUAUUUUCUUCGGGAGCUUUGGAGAGAUGGUGAUAUUUGUAAUAAUAGCAAUGUGAAUUCCAAGGAGUUUGAUACCAAGAAGUUAGUUAUCACAACGAAUUCUAAAAAAAAGAGAGUUAUCAUGGUUCUAAAGUGUCACCAUUGAUAGUUUCAAAAAGUUACCAUUCUUAUAUUUAUUUCCUUAGAAUUAUAAGACUUGUAUAACAUUAUUAUGGUGGUGGAGUGGCAGAGAUGGUAAGAGUGUCUGACUAAAUGUCUUAUAGUGUUCAGUUAUGUCCCUUUAUGUUCUGAGUUUCAAUACUGGUGGUGGUGGUGAUGGUAAGGGUGGAUUUUGCCUGUCUUACUUUUAGGGUUCUUUGAGAUGGGGAGAGUGUAAUAUAAACCAACUUUGUGUCUCUCCUACAUAUAUGUAGACUUGAGUUGGAGCUAGAAAUUAUUUGAUAAUCACAGUAAGCUGACAAAUGGUUUGCGAAAAAUCUGUAGUAUGCUACUAACACAUACACACGGAUAUAUAUAUAAGUACAAUAUAUGCAUACUGAUUUGCAUUUACUAGAUACAAUCAAUCAGAAGAACAAUGAAAAUGUGUAAAACAUUUCAGGGUUUCUCCAUUUGUGGUUAGUGACCAGCUUCAAUUCUGAAAAGGUUAAAAACUUAAUAAAUCCUCUCAAGAAAAUAUACAUAUAGUUCGUUAGAAAGUCCUCGUACAAUUUGAAAUAUUUAUAUAUGACAAAAUUAAUGUGUAAAGAACAUUUACAAACCUGACACAUCUAUUUUAUUGUCACCAAUCACAAAUUUUACUAUAAUUGUUCGAACUUAUAAAGAACUAUUAAUUUAUUUUAUGAGGAAUAUGUAAAGACUAAUAUUUAGUGAAUUAAACCUUGUUCUAUAAAUGAUUCUGCAGGUUAGGAUAAUUAAUGUGUUAUAAAAUAUAACUGAAAGUCAGUUGGGAUGAAAUUUUAGAAUAGAAUUAAAUUAUAGUUUUAUAUAUAAUGAUGGUGGGCAUGUUGAAACUUAAGUCACAAGAUUCUAUUUAAAAGUCAAAUAAAUUCUGCCACUUAUUCCUUUCAUACAUUUAUUUUAUUAUACAUAGGACUAAUGUUAAACAAACUGAGAAUGAUCCUAUAUAGAAAAUGUGUGUGUGUGUGUGCUAUAUAGCAACAGCUGCAUGUAGAUUAGGUUUUACAAAUGAAGGAGUGAAAUAUUCAAAUACUGAAAGAGUACAUUUACAUUUUGAGUUUGAAAAUUUAUAGCAUUAUUACAUGAUAGUUUAAAAUGUCCAAUUUGAAGUGUGUGCAUGUAUCUCACACACACAUGCAUGCACAUACACACACACACACUUUCUCUUCCUCCCUCUCUCUCUCUCUCCAUCAUCUCUAUUUGUCAUCCUUCUUUCCUCUGACCUUGACACUAUCAGCACUGCUUCUCCAAUCCCUGUCCGUAGCUCUCUCUUAUUCACCCUUCUCCUGCCACCCUGCAUUACUUUUAAUAUUUCCUUUACCUUCUAAACUCUUCUCCCUUACCAAUUUGUUUCGCACACAAUCCCUUUACAGCAACACUUUACAAUUUUCCAGCCUUCCCUCUCUGCCAAAACCAAUAUAUAUUGACUCAAUUCUUAGUUUCUAAAACAUACCUUCUUUGUCGAUACUUUAUGCACAUAUGCUUUCUGAAACAUUGGUUGUCAUAUUGUAAUAAUAUGAAUAAAUCCAUGUGUAUAUAUUCAUACAUACAUACAUACAUACAUACAUACAUACAUACAUACAUACAUAUGUAUGUACACACACAUGCACACACUCACACACACACACACAGAUAUAUAUAGAUAGAGAUAUGUUAAAGUAGAUGUGCAUGAUAUAUAUCAUGCACAUACACUCACAUACAUGUAUGUAUGUUUCUCUGAUUGAUGGGCAAUUUGAAUUUUCUAACCUGCAGUCUGUUGUUACUUGUUGUAAGACUGUCAUUCACUUCUGCUCAAUGUGAAAUAUUCCCAGUGAACACCGUUGAUGUUCAGAGACUUUUAAGAUUGUUUCUUGUGUUACCAUGAAAUCUCUUCAUUGGUUGUUCACAGGAGAGACCGUCUGAGAACUAAUUCUCCAUUUUAAUCACAAGUGUGUAGUACAAGGUUACAAUGCUAUUGUUUCAACCCCUGGUCAUCCUUGGGUGCUGUUAUAUAUCUUUUUUCUAUAGUAGCCUAGUUUAUAUAAAUCUGUUUUGAAGGUUGCCAUUAACUGUUGAGCUAGUUAUUAGUAAAUAAUAUUUAAAUGAUGCUAUAGUUAUAUUCAACAAUAAAUGAGAAAAUGAAACAAAAAGGUAUGUAGUGUAAAUCAUGGUUGCUAGAGUAUGACACUUCACACUUGCAUUUUGUAUUGAGCAUUACAUAUAAAAGUUAUGCACUUCAACUGAAUUAAUUUCAGGGAAGAAUAAAAUAUAAAUAUAUAUAAUAUACAUGUAUCAAUGUAUGUGUAUAUGCAUGCAUAUACACAUACUCGUGUGUAUGUAUGUAUGUAUAUAUGUAUAUAUAUGCAUACAUACACACACACACUAUAUAUAUAUAUACACACAUACACAAAGACACACACUCACAAUAUAUAUAUAUAACAUUAUUUUACUUGAUAUUUUCCUCCAAUCUAAAGGUUUGCUAAUGUACAAAAAGUAGGAUUCAGCCAAAAUUCUUUACUAAAUUUAAAAAAAAACUACCACCACCACCAUACCACUGCUAACAGCACUGCAAUAUAAACUCAUCAAGUUCUGUUUUAUGAAAAAAAAAAACCAUUUUGCAAACUAACCCAAAUUGAUCUUGAAUCUGGCCUCAGAACACAAAUUCAGGUAACCAAAUAUCAGCAGCUUUCAGCUAAAUUCUAUGUUAUUAACCAUGUUUAUUUAUAGGGUGACAUAACUCUCUACUUCACUGAUGUAUUUAUUUAUAUAUUUGGUUUGUUUCCUUCUUUAUUUUGCUUAGAUGUUGACUUUGCCCUUCAUCCUUUCGGGGUUGAUAAAAUAAGUACCCCUUGAUCAAUGAGGUCAAUAUAAUUGUCUUACCCUUACCACCCAAAAUUGCUGGCCUUGUGCCAAAAUUUGAAAUCAUUAUUAUUAAGUACUUCCAGUCCAGUAUUGGCUGCUCUUCCUACUGUAACAGCUAAACUAGAUACCAGUAACAUGCAGGGGCGUGUAAAUAAGCACCAGUAAUGUACUUAGUUGAGUUUAACCAACUAUCUGUAGUUGGCCUUGUUGCUCAGUCAAAGCAUAAAUUAUUAUUGGGGGAAAGUGCAACAUGUUUGUUGUUUUAGCUCAAAGUUGGUCCUGAAUAGACCCUUUAUCAAUGAUAUCCCAGCUGUGAUUUUCUUGUCUUUUCCUUUUUAUAUCAUUCUAGCCACAGUGUAUUUAGUACCAUAUAUUAUCCAAUGUCUCUUUUAUUAAGACAGUAGGGUGUGAUUUGAAGGAGAUUUUUAGCAAGUUGAUUGGUUUAUGGAUAAAUACAAGAAAGUAAUUAAAAAAAAACAUUUAGAAAAGGUUUGAAGCUUCCUAUUUCCUUUUAGCUAUGAAUCUAAGCUUUCAUGACUAUUUAAAAAUUACUUUUUAAUUAAUUUCUUUACUUUUUAUGGUUUGUUUUUAAUUAAAUCACUGAAGUACGAGAGUUGAUUGUCACACUGUACAAUAUUACUAGAGCUCAAUAUAUCACACAGUUGGGGAUUGGAGUCUGAGUUUAGCCAGACUGAUUAGCGUUCAAAAUACUGGUGCAUUAUUCGACAAAACAAAAUCUUAAUUUUGUUGAAUUAAAAAAUAAAAUGGUUUUUGCUAUGAAAUUCCAUAUUUCCUUGCAUUUUAACUCUUUUGAUACCAACCCUCUUGGGACUGUCCCUGGUUCUAUGAUACAGGCUUCUUGUUUUAAAGUGAUCUAAAUCAUAACCCUGCAUCAAAAUUUUAUGUAAAUUUAAGUUCCAAAAACCAGUUUAAUAAUGAGUAAAUUAGUUUACUAAAUUCUUCAUUAUUUUCAAAAUUAAUUAAAACAAAAGCAGUGUUAUUUCAAUACGAAUAUGGUAGCAAGAGGGUUAAACUCAAAUAGAGAUAUAUAAGAGAAAAAUUUCAGUAUAGUUUGACUAAAAUUCUUCAAGGCAGUGCCAUAGCAAAGCUGCAGUCAAAUUACUGAAGCAAGUAAAAGAUAAAAGAUUAAAAAAAAAAAAAAAAAUUCUACCAAUCUAUUUGUGAUUCCAGACCCUGUUUUAUCAGUUCUGUACUGAGAGUGAGAAAAUACAGUGGGGGAAAUUUGAGCUUUGUUUUUUAACUUGUGAAUCUUACCAAAACUUUUAUACUGUACUUGUACUUUUUUUUUUGUAUUAUUGUUGAUUAAUUUUCCCUUUGUAUAUUUCAUGGUGUCAACAGUUUUUCUUGGUAUCUGGAAGUUUUAAGACUUUCUUUCAACCAUCAAAUUAACUGAUGCUUAAGUAAAAAUGCUUAGCAAAAAAAAAAAAAAAAGAAGAAAAAAGCGCAGAGGAACAAAUAAAAUGAAUUAUCCAAUAAUUUAUUUAUACAUAAAAUUAUAUAUAUAACUCUCAUAUAUGUAUAAAUAUAUACAUGCACUCUGUAUGUAUCUAUAUAAAGCUAACCUACAUAUAACUAUGUAUGUAUAAUGCUAUAAUUAUACAUAUAAUAAAGCUAUAUAUAUAUGAACUGUUUUUUGGGAGGUUUAUUCUGCCAAUAAACUGAAUAUGCACUGUUAGAAAAAACCCGGAAAUAUUUGGUCUUUCAUAUCCUGAGAUAUUUUCACAAAUUUACCAGAAAAAAAAUUAUUUUUGUUCUUUGAAAAAAUAAAUAAAUAAACCAAUCCAAACAAAACCAAAAACUUCACACUUCUUUUGGAUACUUGCUUACUCUUUGUCUCUUGUUAGUUACUAUCUCUCUUUCUCUCUCCAACAUUGUUGAGUUGAAGAAGGCAAUCAAAAAUAUUACUUAUAACCAUCUGUUUCUUUUAAACUCUAGUUUUUAGUUCUAUUUGCAGUUUGUACUAAUUAUUUAUUUUCCAAAAUAAAUCUGUAUUUAAAUAAAAACAAACAAACAAAAUAAA